rnacentral:pre_miRNA from 1 species
CGGGGAAGGCCGGAUCCUGGGCUGUGUCCCGGCGCCCUGUGCUCCGGGGCCUGCGCUGUUGGAUUCGCGCUCCCGCCCCGCAGCCCCCU